rnacentral:rRNA from 1 species
GAUGAACGCUGGCGGCGUGCCUAAUACAUGCAAGUCGAGCGAACAGACGAGGAGCUUGCUCCUCUGACGUUAGCGGCGGACGGGUGAGUAACACGUGGAUAACCUACCUAUAAGACUGGGAUAACUUCGGGAAACCGGAGCUAAUACCGGAUAAUAUAUUGAACCGCAUGGUUCAAUAGUGAAAGACGGUUUUGCUGUCACUUAUAGAUGGAUCCGCGCCGCAUUAGCUAGUUGGUAAGGUAACGGCUUACCAAGGCAACGAUGCGUAGCCGACCUGAGAGGGGGAUCGGCCACAAUGGAACUGAGACACGGUCCAGACUCCUACGGGAGGCAGCAGUAGGGAAUCUUCCGCAAUGGGCGAAAGCUUGACGGAGCAACGCCGCGUGAGUGAUGAAGGUCUUCGGAUCGUAAAACUCUGUUAUUAGGGAAGAACAAAUGUGUAAGUAACUAUGCACGUCUUGACGGUACCUAAUCAGAAAGCCACGGCUAACUACGUG